AUGUAUAGGCUGUACAUUUGUGUGUCACUUGUUUGUUUAUUUACUGAAAGUGUUUUUUUUUUACAUUUACAGGCCAUCCACAUAUCCAACAUAAAAGAGGCCCUGGUGCUAUCACUGGUGCAGAUAUUCCCGGCCCUGAAUGAUGGAUCAGACAGUGGCUAUGAAAUAUGGUACACAAAAGCCAGGAAGGUAAUGAAGGAUGGAGGAGUGAUCCACUACCCAGCCACAAGCUUCCUCGAAGAAAGACUAUGGAACGUUAGAAAGAGGUCAAACUGUGGGUCCACCCAACAAAUGCCUGAAGCCACCCAGUCACCAAGGGCAUACAUACCAGAAUCAACCGUUCCAGAAGAAAGGGCCCUCCAACAGAAGGAAUGGCUGAAACACAAUUCAGAGCCUUUCACCCAAGUGCAGUCCUACAUGAAGGACACAGUGUUAUGCAGAGCCAGCUGGAUCCGGGCUAAUAGCUCCAAGGACAUACUGGAAAUCCUCACAGAGUACCCUCAUCUCACCAGUCCGGCCAUGGCUGCACCUAAAUUAUUUGAGACCUGGAUCCCUGAAUAUGCUAAAAAACGGUCCUGUACUUGGCCAAGCAGGACAAUAAACUCCCUUCACUUACUGUUGAGGACAUGACACUGGAUGCCAAAGGGGAACUAGCUCUAACACUGCUAUCCACCAUGGUGCCACAGGCCCUCUACAGGGUUGGGAAGAAGACUCCGCUAAAGAGUCUCGGACAGCGUUCAUACACCAAAUGCCUGUAAGUACAGUCGUGGCCAAAAGUUUUGAGAAUUACAUAAAUAUUCGUUUUCAAAAAGUUUGCUGCUAAACUGCUUUUAGAUCUUUGUUUCAGUUGUUUCUGUGAUGUACUGAAAUAUAAUUACAAGCACUUCAUACGUUUCAAAGGCUUUUAUCGACAAUUACAUGACAUUUAUGCAAAGAGUCAGUAUUUGCAGUCUUGGCCCUUUUACACGAUUGUGGAAAAUCAUUCACAAACGAAAGUAUCCAAAUUUGAGAAGGGAUAUAAAUUCUUCUAUGAAAACUACAUCUUCAAUUAUGAAGGUAAGUUUAAUUUUAAUGUUUGUUUAUUCUCUCGAAAUGGCUAACAUGCUAAGUUUUUUGUGCAAUAGUAUCUGAUGUUGUAGAUAGUGAGGUGAUUAUCAGGGCACAGUGUUACCGGUCCAUGAAGAAAAACGAAGAGACACACUCUCUUCAGGUUACCUAUUCAGGACGAACUGUAGUUAGGUCCAGUUCGAGGACACAAAUUUGUUUGUGUUUAUAGUUUAUUUUACAGUUGUAGCGUGUUAGAUUGCGGUUGCAGUUUGUUUUGAAGUGUGCAAAUUAAAAAAUGUUAGACUGCUGUUGAGAAUCCUCCUGUCAUCAGCACUUUUUGCUGUUCCUGUGUGGCUGGGAAAGAGCUAUGCAACCAUUUAGUUGGCUUGCUGUUUCAGAGUGCACACUACAGCAUGAUGAAACUAAAGACGGUACCACCCACUAUACCCAGCACAAGCACUCUACAGACUUGGCACAGGCCCAGGACUCGGGUAUAGUAAACAGCUAUUAACUAUUUUCUGCAUGAAUUAUGACAACCUCAGACAGUAUUUUUGUCCUAUGUGUUUUCAUUCCUCCAGGGACAUGAAAA
ensembl:lncRNA